UCACCCAGCCAAAAAAGGACUUCAGGGCUGCUCCUCUGUUGGAGCAGAAGGAAUGAGAAGGAGAGAGAAACAGAAAAAAUUACAUAGGUAAUAUUUUGCUUGAGAAACUACCAAGCUGUAUUUUCUACCUGGAAAAAAAAAGGUGGCUUUUUUGCAGCUGCCAAGUAAAUUCACUUUGUCAAAACACAGGUCUUCAAAAAAAAAUAAAAAUCAGAAGAAUAGAGCUAGGAGGCCAUGGUGGAGGCACAGAGGAGAUAAAACAGAGAAGACUCUUCAGAGGAGGAAUGUGUUUUAACACUCUGCAGGUGCACCCUCCAUCAUCAGCAUUACUGCUGGCAUUUACUGCCAUGGCCAUAAAAUGCAUCUGCACAGAGGUUGUGAACUGCUGAUGGGACACUGAACCACGAAUGCCUGACUGAGAAGAGUCUUGAAAAUUCCCUCUGGAAGUCUGGGAGGACAAAGGACCAUGGAUGCUAUGAACUGCUGACACAAUAAAAACUUUUUUUUCUUUUCAGAAUCCUGCAAACUAUUGGUUGUCUUGUUCCUCAUAAGAAGGAGAAGCUUCAAGUCCACGUGUAAAUUUGUUCACACUUCAGCAGCCAGAUUUUCCUGGACUACCUUCACCAGCAUCCCUGAAACCCUCUUUAACACCUGGAAUGAGGAUCUCUCAUCCUAAUUUCUGCCAGGACAAAUUGUGCCCAAACACACAGUUCUGCAGCUGUCUAAGUCUGGCCUAGGGGUUGGAAAUUGCCAUCCAGGUCAGGGCUGAUAAUUAUAAAAAUCCAUCUAUGGCAAGUUCUGCACCUCA